rnacentral:rRNA from 1 species
GGGGUUGAAAUUUAAAAGUCUAACCUGCCCACUGAAAUUUUAAAUGGCCGCAGUAUAUUAACUGUGCAAAGGUAGCAUAAUCAUUAGUCUUUUAAUUGAAGGCUGGAAUGAAUGGUUGGACGUAAUAUUAACUGUUUCAAAAUAAUUUAAUUUAGAAUUUUAUUUUUUAGUGAAAAAGCUAAAAUUUUAUUAAAAGACGAGAAGACCCUAUAAAUCUUUAUAAUUUAUUUAUUUUAAUUGAAAAAGAAUUGUUUUAUUAUAAUAAUUUAAAUUAUUUUAUUGGGGUGAUAUUAAAAUUUAAUAAACUUUUAAUUUAUUAAAUCAUUGAUUUAUGAAUAAUUGAUCCAAUAUUAUUGAUUAUAAAUUUAAGUUACUUUAGGGAUAACAGCGUAAUUUUUUUGGAGAGUUCAUAUCGAUAAAAAAGAUUGCGACCUCGAUGUUGGAUUAAGAGAUAUAUUUGGGGGCAGCUAUUCAAAUGUUAAGUCUGUUCGACUUUUAAAUUCUUACGUGAUCUGAGUUCAGACCGGA